rnacentral:rRNA from 1 species
UACGUAGGGGCGAGCGUUGUCCGGAUUUAUUGGGCGUAAAGAGCGUGUAGGCGGCCAGGUAGGUCUGCUGUGAAAACUCGAGGCUCAACCUCGAGACGUCGGCGGAAACCAUCUGGCUAGAGUCCGGAAGAGGAGAGUGGAAUUCCUGGUGUAGCGGUGAAAUGCGCAGAUAUCAGGAAGAACACCCGUGGCGAAGGCGGCUCUCUGGGACGGUACUGACGCUGAGACGGCGAAAGCGUGGGGAGCGAACAGG